UCAAUAUUUGAGAUCUUGUUUUGUUAUCUCUUCAUUUUCAAAUAUACCAGGAACACUGAAAAAGAAAAAUCAGGGCUUCUCUUUACCCCUGCUCAGAGCAGAGAUGAAGCCUCAUCUCAGCACAAGGAGCUGGGGACAUGGGGGACACCCUGACUUAAAAACAGUUAUUGCAGUCCUACUUCUAGAGCAUUUGGAGGAGCUAGCUAGUGGGCUUCGAGGAGGGGCAGGCUCACAGCUGCGGGGGCGGGUAGGGGAGGAGUCUUCACAGAGGAGGUAACUUCGGAGCUCGCUUGCAAAGACUGUAGGAGUCUCGGAGGUGGAGAACGAGGCGAGGGAAAGCAUUCCAGGCUUCGAGAACAGCAUGUGCAAAGUCACGGAGGCGUGAAAGGACAGAGCGUGUUCCAGAAUGUGCUGUGGGAGUUCUGAGGAACCAUCUCUUGUGGCCAGGGUUAUCAGAGAAGACUUCGUAGAAGACGUGUAUCUGAGUUCCAAGACCAGGGACGGAACCUGCGCCCCCUGCAUUGGAAGCGUGGAGUCUUAACCACUGGACUGCCAGGGAAGUCCCGGUAGGGAGUGUUUUGAGUUGGGAGACCAGUAGAAGGCCUUGGCAUCAGUUGGAGAAAAAAGAAGACCUGAGAGAAAAUGUUGAUGGUGAUGGCAAUGGAGAGAAGAAUUGGGUAAGGAAGAGACUAUAAAAUGAUAAAAUGAAGAGGCCAAGGGAAAAGGCUCAAAGAUGGUUCUAAGUAAUGAACUAGUUGACAAAUAGAAAAGACCGAAGAGGGGAUUUAAGAAAGAGAAGACGUGAAUUCAGUUUGUGAUUAAUCGUAUUGAGAGGGCCAGUGGGGUACUUGGAGUAGAUAUCCAGAUAGGCACUUGGUGACUGAAGUCUCA